rnacentral:rRNA from 1 species
CUUGGUGACUAUGGCACUUUGGAACCACGUCUUCCCAUCCCGAACAGAAUUGUGAAACGAAGAUGCGCCGAUGAUAGUGUGUAAACGCAUGUGAAAGUAGGUUAUCGCCAAGC